rnacentral:rRNA from 1 species
GACGAACGCUGGCGGCGUGCUUAACACAUGCAAGUCGAACGGUGAAGCGAGUGCUUGCACUCGUGGAUCAGUGGCGAACGGGUGAGUAACACGUGAGUAACCUGCCCAUCACUCUGGGAUAAGCACUGGAAACGGUGUCUAAUACUGGAUACGACCAACCCUUGCAUGGGGUGUUGGUGGAAAGAUUUAUCGGUGAUGGAUGGACUCGCGGCCUAUCAGCUUGUUGGCGGGGUAAUGGCCCACCAAGGCGACGACGGGUAGCCGGCCUGAGAGGGCGACCGGCCACACUGGGACUGAGACACGGCCCAGACUCCUACGGGAGGCAGCAGUGGGGAAUAUUGCACAAUGGGCGAAAGCCUGAUGCAGCGACGCCGCGUGAGGGAUGACGGCCUUCGGGUUGUAAACCUCUUUCAGCAGGGAAGAAGCGAAAGUGACGGUACCUGCAGAAGAAGCACCGGCUAACUACGUG